GACGAACGCUGGCGGCGUGCUUAACACAUGCAAGUCGAACGGAAAGGCCCUGCUUUUGUGGGGUGCUCGAGUGGCGAACGGGUGAGUAACACGUGAGUAACCUGCCCUGGACUUUGGGAUAACUUCAGGAAACUGGGGCUAAUACCGGAUAGGAGCUCCUGCUGCAUGGUGGGGGUUGGAAAGUUUCGGCGGUUGGGGAUGGACUCGCGGCUUAUCAGCUUGUUGGUGGGGUAGUGGCUUACCAAGGCUUUGACGGGUAGCCGGCCUGAGAGGGUGACCGGCCACAUUGGGACUGAGGUACGGCCCAGACUCCUACGGGAGGCAGCAGUGGAGAAUAUUGCACAGUGGGCGGAAGCCUGAUGCAGCAACGCCGCGUGCGGGAUGACGGCCUUCGGGUUGUAAACCGCUUUCGCCUGUGACGAAGCGUGAGUGACGGUAAUGGGUAAAGAAGCACCGGCUAACUACGUG
rnacentral:rRNA from 1 species